rnacentral:rRNA from 1 species
CAGUCGCCGCGGUAAUACGAAGGGUGCAAGCGUUACUCGGAAUUACUGGGCGUAAAGCGUGCGUAGGUGGUGGUUUAAGUCCGUUGUGAAAGCCCUGGGCUCAACCUGGGAAUUGCAGUGGAUACUGGGUCACUAGAGUGUGGUAGAGGAUAGUGGAAUUUCCGGUGUAGCAGUGAAAUGCGUAGAGAUCGGAAGGAACAUCUGUGGCGAAGGCGACUAUCUGGGCCAACACUGACACUGAGGCACGAAAGCGUGGGGAGCAAACAGGAUUAGAUAUCCCGGUAGUCCCUGUCUCUUAUAC